UGGGGAAUAUUGCACAAUGGGCGCAAGCCUGAUGCAGCCAUGCCGCGUGUGUGAAGAAGGCCUUCGGGUUGUAAAGCACUUUCAGCGGGGAGGAAGGCGAUAAGGUUAAUAACCUUGUCGAUUGACGUUACCCGCAGAAGAAGCACCGGCUAACUCCGUGCCAGCAGCCGCGGUAAUACGGAGGGUGCAAGCGUUAAUCGGAAUUACUGGGCGUAAAGCGCACGCAGGCGGUCUGUCAAGUCGGAUGUGAAAUCCCCGGGCUCAACCUGGGAACUGCAUUCGAAACUGGCAGGCUAGAGUCUUGUAGAGGGGGGUAGAAUUCCGGGUGUAGCGGUGAAAUGCGUAGAGAUCUGGAGGAAUACCGGUGGCGAAGGCGGCCCCCUGGACAAAGACUGACGCUCAGGUGCGAAAGCGUGGGGAGCAAACAGG
rnacentral:rRNA from 1 species